rnacentral:sRNA from 1 species
UAUGGAAAAAAUGAUUAUUCUAGUGGUAGGCAGGCACAUGGGGUGGAUGGUUUAACCAUCUGGCUUAGGUCUCCCAUGUGCAUGUAGGCUCCCUCGGGGGCCUUUUUUAUUUUCGCUUU